UGUUCUGUGGCUUAGGUGGUUAAAGCGCCGGAUUAACGAUACGGAGUCAUUGGUUUGGAUCCCACCAAAGCAA
rnacentral:tRNA from 1 species